AGUGAACGCUGGCGGUAGGCCUAACACAUGCAAGUCGAACGGCAGCACAGUAAGAGCUUGCGCUUACGGGUGGCGAGUGGCGGACGGGUGAGGAAUACAUCGGAAUCUACCUUUGCGUGGGGGAUAACGGAGGGAAACUUACGCUAAUACAGCAUACGACCUACGGGUGAAAGCAGGGGAUCUUCGGACCUUGCGCGAGUGAAUGAGCCGAUGUCGUAUUAGCUAGUUGGCGGGGUAAAGGCCCACCAAGGCGACGAUCCGUAGCUGGUCUGAGAGGAUGAUCAGCCACACUGGAACUGAGACACGGUCCAGACUCCUACGGGAGGCAGCAGUGGGGAAUAUUGGACAAUGGGCGCAAGCCUGAUCCAGCCAUACCGCGUGGGUGAAGAAGGCCUUCGGGUUGUAAAGCCCUUUUGUUGGGAAAGAAAAGCAGCAGGUUAAUACCCCGCUGUUCUGACGGUACCCAAAGAAUAAGCACCGGCUAACUUCGUG
rnacentral:rRNA from 1 species